UCAAGUGAAUUAAGGGCAUCUGGUGGAUGCCUUGGCACUGAGAGGCGAUGAAGGACGUAGCACGCUGCGAUAAGUCAUGGGGAGCCGCGAGCAGGCAUUGAUCCGUGAAUUUCCGAAUGGGGAAACCCACCCAGCGAUGGGUAUCCUUCACUGAAUACAUAGGUGAGGGAAGCGAACCCGGGGAACUGAAACAUCUAAGUACCCGGAGGAAAGGACAUCAACCGAGACUCCGCUAGUAGUGGCGAGCGAACGCGGACCAGGCCAGUGGUCAACUCUACAUAACCGGAAGCAUCUGGAAAGGUGCGCCAGAGUGGGUGAAAGCCCCGUACGGGUAAACCGGAGUUGAUCCUCGAGUAGGGCGGGACACGUGAAAUCCUGUCUGAACGUGGGGGGACCACCCUCCAAGCCUAAGUACUCCUCAGUGACCGAUAGCGAACCAGUACCGUGAGGGAAAGGUGAAAAGCACCCCGACGAGGGGAGUGAAACAGUACCUGAAACCGGAUGCCUACAAGCAGUCGGAGCGGUAUCAACCGUGACGGCGUACCUUUUGUAUAAUGGGUCAGCGACUUACAGUAUGCAGCGAGCUUAAGGCGAUAGCUGGAGGCGUAGCGAAAGCGAGUCUGAAUAGGGCGCUUUAGUUGCCUGCUGUAGACCCGAAACCUGAUGAUCUAUCCAUGGCCAGGCUGAAGGUGGGGUAACACCCACUGGAGGGCCGAACCCACGCCCGUUGAAAAGGUCGGGGAUGAGCUGUGGAUAGGGGUGAAAGGCCAAUCAAAUCAGGAAAUAGCUGGUUCUCCGCGAAAUCUAUUUAGGUAGAGCGUCGGAUGAUCACCCGCGGGGGUAGAGCACUGGAUGGGCUAGGGGGGCGCGAGCCUUACCAAACCUAACCAAACUCCGAAUACCGUGGAGUGCAGUCCGGCAGCCAGACGGUCGGUGCUAAGGUCGAUCGUCGAGAGGGAAAGAGCCCAGACCGCCAGCUAAGGUCCCCAAGUGGUGGCUAAGUGGGAAAGGAUGUGGGAAGGCCAUGACAACCAGGAGGUUGGCUUAGAAGCAGCCAUCCUUUAAAGAAAGCGUAAUAGCUCACUGGUCUAGAUAAGCCGGCCUGCGCCGAAAAUGUAACGGGGCUUAAGCCACCCACCGAAGCUGCGGAUGCCUUCCUUUAGUGGAAGGCGUGGUAGCGGAGCGUUCCGUAAGCCGUUGAAGGCGAUGACCGUGAGGGUCGCUGGAGGUAUCGGAAGUGAGAAUGCUGACAUGAGUAGCGAUAAACAGUGUGAGAAACACUGUCGCCGAAAGUCCAAGGGUUCCUGCGCAAGGUUAAUCCACGCAGGGUGAGCCGGCCCCUAAGGCGAGGCCGAGAGGCGUAGUCGAUGGGAACCUGGUUAAUAUUCCAGGGCCUGCGGGUGUGUGACGGAUGCUGAAGUUGGUAUGCCCUUAUCGGAUUGGGUGUGCCAUGGAGGUGUCCCAGGAAAUAGCCCCCGCAUAUAGACCGUACCCGAAACCGACACAGGUGGACUGGUAGAGUAUACCAAGGCGCUUGAGAGAAUGGUGUUGAAGGAACUCGGCAAAUUACCCUCGUAACUUCGGGAUAAGAGGGCCCCGUUGGUGGGCAACCAUCGGCGGGGGGCACAGACCAGGGGGUGGCGACUGUUUACCAAAAACACAGGGCUCUGCGAAGCCGUACAAGGCGACGUAUAGGGUCUGACGCCUGCCCGGUGCCGGAAGGUUAAAAGGAGGGGUGCAAGCUCUGAAUUGAAGCCCCGGUAAACGGCGGCCGUAACUAUAACGGUCCUAAGGUAGCGAAAUUCCUUGUCGGGUAAGUUCCGACCUGCACGAAUGGCGUAACGACUUCCCCGCUGUCUCCAACACCAACUCAGCGAAAUUGAAUUCUCCGUGAAGAUGCGGAGUACCCGCGGUUAGACGGAAAGACCCCGUGCACCUUUACUACAGCUUUGCAGUGGUAUUAGGGAUUGCAUGUGUAGGAUAGGUGGGAGGCUUUGAAGCAUGGGCGCCAGCUCGUGUGGAGCCAUCCUUGAAAUACCACCCUUGCGAUCUCUGAUAUCUAACCACGCCCCCUGAAGCGGGGGCUGGGACCCUGCAUGGCGGGUAGUUUGACUGGGGGCGUCGCUCCAAAUGGUAACGGAGGCCCGCGAUGGUUGGC
rnacentral:rRNA from 1 species